UGGGGAAUAUUGCACAAUGGGCUCAAGCCUGAUGCAGCCAUGCCGCGUGUAUGAAGAAGGCCUUCGGGUUGUAAAGUACUUUCAGCGAGGAGGAAGGCGUUGUGGUUAAUAACCGCAGCGAUUGACGUUACUCGCAGAAGAAGCACCGGCUAACUCCGUGCCAGCAGCCGCGGUAAUACGGAGGGUGCAAGCGUUAAUCGGAAUUACUGGGUGUAAAGCGCACGCAGGCGGUCUGUCAAGUCGGAUGUGAAAUCCCCGGGCUCAACCUGGGAACUGCAUCCGAAACUGGCAGGCUAGAGUCUUGUAGAGGGGGGUAGAAUUCCAGGUGUAGCGGUGAAAUGCGUAGAGAUCUGGAGGAAUACCGGUGGCGAAGGCGGCCCCCUGGACAAAGACUGACGCUCAGGUGCGAAAGCGUGGGGAGCAAACA
rnacentral:rRNA from 1 species